ACUUUCAAUUUUCAAACAUUUCUUUUCCAAACUUUCGUUUUGAAGCAAAAUAUUUUGAAUUAUUUUAUCUCAAUUGGAAGGAAAUACACGAGCUUUUCUAGCGAAAUAUGUCGCACGACGUGACCGUAAACUUCAACGGCAAAUCAUUUAACCUUCGUUUUCAACCAUCCUGGACAAUCUCUCAACUAAAACGCGAAAUUGCUCGCAAGAAAAAUGUCAAAACUGCUGGAAUUAAAAUCAUUUUUGCCGGUCGAGAAUUACCCGAUGAAUUAACACUCGGGAAUGCGGAGAUGAACCACAGCGUCAUUCAUGCUGUUCAGAAAUCUGGUCAGAUCUCAGUUGAUGCAACUUACAAUGCGAAUGAUGGUUUGACGAAAGUGAAACUGACACAGGAUGACGAAGAUGAAGAUGGUGAAUCUCAACAAUCAGGGUCCAAAUGGUUGGGAUGAUGUAUUGAUCAAAGGCUGCAUGCAGGGACAAUGUGAAUCCAAUACAAACUGUCAGGGAACAACAGCGGAAUUUUAUUUCAAAUGUGGGGAACAUCAUGGUAGAGAUGAACAGGCGCCAUUAUCAAUGUUGAAAUCUAACAUCAGAAAUAUUCCCUGCAUCACAUGCUCUGAAACAUCAUAAUGCGGUUGAAUGUUUUAAACUUGGUCAGCUUUGCAGCUCAAAUGGUAGAAAUUCAAUCCGUGAAUGUGACAGUCAGGGUUGUGGUGAUUUCGGAACACCAAGAGGCUCUCGUACACACAAUGGUGUCGACAUAAUUUGCAAACCAGGGAGUUCUGUCAUGACACCAUUUGCUGCGAAGAUCUGACGAAAAUCACGUUCUUAUUCAAACAACAACAAACCAUAUAACAAUGGAUUGUAUAUUCAAGGAAGCGGAGAAGCCGAAGAUAUAAAAUGGAUAUUUCAGGUGGUCUUGGAAGAUCUGCUGGAAAGAUAUGGCGUGUUGGUCUGAUGGGGUUGAACAGUACAAAAGAUAAUGUAAAUCUUGUACUAAAAGCCUUCAAGGACGCGAUGGAAAACGUGAAAUUACAAAACAAUCUGUGAGCAAACUUGAAACAAGAAUUUUAUUUUAGUUGACAAACCAAUUUAUAUUAGUUAA
rnacentral:misc_RNA from 1 species